GAUGAACGCUAGCGGCAGGCCUAAUACAUGCAAGUCGGACGGGAUUCAGGAGCUUGCUUCUGAUGAGAGUGGCGCACGGGUGCGUAACACGUAUGUAACCUACCUUUAUCAGGGGGAUAGCCUCUCGAAAGAGAGAUUAAGCCCGCAUAAAAUCACAGCACAGCAUUGUGUAAUGAUCAAAUAUUUAUAGGAUAAAGAUGGGCAUGCGGAACAUUAGCUAGAUGGCGGGGUAACGGCCCACCAUGGCGACGAUGUUUAGGGGAUCUGAGAGGAUGGCCCCCCCACACUGGUACUGAGACACGGACCAGACUCCUACGGGAGGCAGCAGUAAGGAAUAUUGGUCAAUGGGCGGAAGCCUGAACCAGCCAUGCCGCGUGCAGGAAGACGGCCCUACGGGUUGUAAACUGCUUUUAUACGGGAAUAAACCCAGAUACGUGUAUCUGGCUGAAUGUACUGUAAGAAUAAGGAUCGGCUAACUCCGUG
rnacentral:rRNA from 1 species